CCGCAGGCAAGGGACUAAGGGGAGGGGGGCUCAGUGCCAGCUGCUUAAAAAUGCCCCUGUGGCAGCGAGGGGCACCAGAGGCUGGGUCUAAUUAGUUGAGAAGCAGUGACACCCCCAACCACUCCCCAAACAGGCUGGCUCCCGUCUCCAGGCCCCAAGGAGCCACACCUGGACCAGACCCCAGGAAAGGCAAGGGCACUAGCUGGUGGGAGCCACCCCGCCAUGCUGAUGUCAGAGAAGCAAGAACUCUGGAGAAGCAGCCUCCUGGGACCAGAGGAGGGCCAGCAGCAGGCAGCCCGGAGACAGAACUCUCACCCACGCCUCUCCAAGCCUCCCGACAGAAGACAGAGGUCCCCCACAGCCAGAGACAUUUCCUGAAGACAUGGGGAACACAGAGGCAGAAACAGCCCAUCCACCCAGGAGCUGUCCCCCACACUGCCGGGAGCCGGCACCCAGAGCCGCCAGGUAAAACUGAGGCCACCUGGUUCAACAUCGCCUUUCAUAGAAGGGGAAGCAGCCACAGAAAGAAGGGCCUGGUAAGAAGUGGAACCUGG
rnacentral:lncRNA from 1 species